rnacentral:rRNA from 1 species
ACGGGUGAGUAACGCGUGGGAACGUGCCUUCUGGUUCGGAAUAACUCAGGGAAACUUGAGCUAAUACCGGAUACGCCCUUUUGGGGAAAGGUUUACUGCCGGAAGAUCGGCCCGCGUCUGAUUAGCUAGUUGGUGGGGUAACGGCCUACCAAGGCGACGAUCAGUAGCUGGUCUGAGAGGAUGAUCAGCCACACUGGGACUGAGACACGGCCCAGACUCCUACGGGAGGCAGCAGUGGGGAAUAUUGGACAAUGGGCGCAAGCCUGAUCCAGCCAUGCCGCGUGAGUGAUGAAGGCCUUAGGGUUGUAAAGCUCUUUUAUCCGGGACGAUAAUGACGGUACCGGAGGAAUAAGCCCCGGCUAACUUCGUGCCAGCAGCCGCGGUAAUACGAAGGGGGCUAGCGUUGCUCGGAAUCACUGGGCGUAAAGGGCGCGUAGGCGGUCUUUUAAGUCGGGGGUGAAAGCCUGUGGCUCAACCACAGAAUUGCCUUCGAUACUGGGAGACUUGAGUUCGGAAGAGGUUGGUGGAACUGCGAGU